rnacentral:misc_RNA from 1 species
GAAAUGCGAUAAGUAAUGUGAAUUGCAGAAUUCCGUGAAUCAUCGAAUCUUUGAACGCACAUUGCGCCCUCUGGCAUUCCGGGGAGCAUGCCUGUCCGAGCGUCAUUACGCACCCUCAAGCCCGGCUUGUGUGAUGGGCCCUGGCGUCUCGUUCGCGAGACGGGCCCGAAAGGCAGCGGCGGCGUCGACCCGAUGAGCCCGAGCGUAUGGGGACUUUUGUCACACGUUUGCGGUGCGGACCGGCGCCUGCUUGACUUUUCUGAUUAUCCAGGUUGACCUCGGAUCAGGUAGGGAUACCCGCUGAACUUAAGC